UGAGUGCGAGCUGCUACGGCAGCGAAGUGGGUGACGUCAAGCUUCCAAGAAAAGCCCUAUACCCGUUAAGGCAUGAUUGCCUGUACCCGAAACCGACACAGGUGGGGUGGUAGAGAAUACCGAGGGGCGCGAGGUAACUCUCUCUAAGGAACUCGGCAAAAUGGCCCCGUAACUUCGGGAGAAGGGGUGCCACCGCAAGGUGGUCGCAGUGAAGAGGCCCAGGCGACUGUUUACCAAAAACACAGGUCUCCGCUAAGUCGCAAGACGAUGUAUGGGGGCUGACGCCUGCCCAGUGCCGGAAGGUUAAGGAAGCUGGUCAGCGUAAGCGAAGCUGGCGACUGAAGCCCCGGUGAACGGCGGCCGUAACUAUAACGGUCCUAAGGUAGCGAAAUUCCUUGUCGGGUAAGUUCCGACCCGCACGAAAGGCGUAACGAUCUGGGCGCUGUCUCGGAGAGAGGCUCGGCGAAAUAGAAUUGUCUGUGAAGAUGCGGACUACGUGCACCCGGACAGAAAGACCCUAUGAAGCUUUACUGUAGCUUGGUAUUGUGCCCGGGCUCGCAAUGCGCAGGAUAGGUGGGAGGCUUUGAUCAUCGGCUUGCGGGUCGGUGUGAGCCACUGGUGAGAUACCACUCUUUGCGAGCUAGGGUUCUAACGGCCACCCGUGAUCCGGGGGCCGGACAGUAUCAGGUGGGCGGUUUGACUGGGGCGGUCGCCUCCUAAAAGGUAACGGAGGCGCGCAAAGGUUCCCUCAGGCUGGUUGGAAAUCAGCCGACGAGUGUAAAGGCAGAAGGGAGCUUGACUGUGAGACCUACAAGUCGAACAGGGACGAAAGUCGGCCUUAGUGAUCCGACGGUUCUGAGUGGAAGGGCCGUCGCUCAACGGAUAAAAGUUACUCUAGGAUAACAGGCUGAUCUCCCCCAAGAGUUCACAUCGACGGGGAGGAUUGGCACCUCGAUGUCGGCUCAUCGCAACCUGGGGCUGAAGUCGGUCCCAAGGGUUGGGCUGUUCGCCCAUUAAAGCGGUACGCGAGCUGGGUUCAGAACGUCGUGAGACAGUUCGGUCCAUAUCCGGUGCAUGCGCAGGAAUAUUGAGAGGAGUUCUCCCUAGUACGAGAGGACCGGGAGGAACGCACCUCUGGUGUACCAGUUAUCGUGCCAACGGUAAACGCUGGGUAGCCAUGUGCGGAGAGGAUAACCGCUGAAAGCAUCUAAGUGGGAAGCCCACCUCAAGAUGAGUAUUCCCAUGGCAUAAGCCAGUAAGGUCACGGGAAGAACACCCGUUGAUAGGCUCUACGUGGAAGCGCAGUAAUGCGUGAAGCGGAGGAGUACUAAUAGACCGAGGGC
rnacentral:rRNA from 1 species